GCCGCACAAGAGAGUCUGCCGUGUGGUUCGUGAGAUAAAGCUUGCUUUUUUUUCGUUCGAGCUCCGUAUGAUCGGGGUGUGUAAAUAAAGUUAUUUAGAUAAUUUUCGGUUUCGAGAAUGGUGCAGAAUAUUUUGGUAUGUGGUGCUUUGUGUGUGUUGCGGUUGUGUGUAUUGGUGCACUUUCGUCCAUUACUAUCUUCGCCGGUGGGAAAUCGGUUCCUGCAGCGUCGAAUAGAACCCUGAGAAGGAAAAGCGGUCACAUACCGCAUUCGUCGCCUCUCGCAAAAAGCGAAGGCGGACAGGGGAAGAACCGGAAGGCUGCACCACCGAAGCCAAUCAAAGUGCGGCACCGUUGUACGGGGCCGCUGCAAGCUCGAUAUGAUAUAUGGAUUAAGUUCUCAAUUAAAGCGCACUUCCCCGACCCAACCAAACGAAAGGAACGGUCAGAUCGAUCGGCCCAAUAAAGCAAUGGCGCACAUAAACUGCUUCCCAGCAGCAACAACAAACCUCCCUAACGUUCUCUGCCCACUUGUGGGUUGAAGAUGGCAGCACACAAACGCACACACACUCAUUCGCACGAGGGUGAAAAGAAAGAGACACUACCAGUACUGCAACGAAAGAAAGAAAAAAAACGGACAAACGAAUCGAGCUCAUCGUGGCAAGAUUCUCAGCUAAUACAAACAACCCUAACCCUUACCCCUCACUUACCGUCGUCUCACGAUGCGGGCCAAUUUUAGGCGGGGGUGGUGUUCGGUUGAUCGGGUUCGAGGCCAAAACGCGUCGUGAUUCGUUCGUUUUACGCUGGUUGGGGUCUUUUUUUUUUUGUUCGAUGUUGCUAGAAAGGGAAGAGCAAAGAAGGAGUUGGUAAAAUAAUAACAUAAGUCUGUACCACGCCAUCGCACAAGGGGCUCCACCGGGCAUGGGGGCCUUCCAGUAAUAUUCCACACACUCAAGCUCGCCCAAACGUAAUCCCCCACC